rnacentral:rRNA from 1 species
GACGAACGCUGGCGGCGUGCUUAACACAUGCAAGUCGAACGGAACGGCCCUGUUUGCUGGGUACUCGAGUGGCGACCGGGUGAGUACCCCGUGGGUGCUUUGCCCUGCACUUCGGGCUACGCUUGGGAAACUGGGCUUAAUACCGGUUUGGACCGCACUCUAGUGUGUGUGGUGGAAAGUUUUUUCGGUGUCGGAUGAGCUCGCGGCCUAUCCGCUUGUUGGUGGGGUAAUGGCCUACCAAGGCGGCGACGGGGAGCCGGCCUGAGAGGGUGUACGGCCACAUUGGGACUGAGAUACGGCCCAGACGCCUGCGGGAGGCAGCAGUGGGGAAUAUUGCACAAUGGGCGCAAGCCUGAUGCAGCGACGCCGCGUGGGGGAUGAAGGGCUUCUGGUUGUAAACUCCUGUCGCUAGGGACGAAGCUUGUUGUGACGGUACCUAGAGAAGAAGCACCGGCUAACUACGUG